rnacentral:lncRNA from 1 species
CCAGUCGCAGCCAAUCAGCGCCGCCGGUGGGCGAGGACUCCCUGUCCUGGGGCCAUCUCCCGACCGGCAGGGGGCGCCGCGCCCUCAGCGGUUCCUGUCGCGCGCCCUCGGCCCCGGCGCCACGGCAGCGGCUUGCCGGGCAAGACGCUCCAGCUGUGUGCUCCGCCCAACAGAUCCGUAAAAACUUACAGGCAUGGUGACUCCACUACCUCCCAGGGAAACCUAUUCCAGUGCCUGACCACCCUGACAGUGACAACUUCUUGUUCUGAUAUCUGAUCGGAAUCUCCGCUGUCUCACCUUCAGGCCAUUUCCUCUUGUCCUCUCACUGCAGGAGCGGCAGGAGAGACCGACCCCUGCCACACUACUACAUUCUCCUUUCAGGAGUUGUAGAGACUUGGAUCCGACAAAACUUCCCAGGAUACAUGGAAAUAAAUGGCAAAAUGUGAAGCAAUGGCUGAGGCCAUUUCUGAGAUUAAUUUACUCCAGAAUCCUUCUCUGAUUGACAUGCAGCUUAGCUUGGGGCUGUCAGUCCUGCCUCGGUGGAGCUGUGGGAGUGCCAGUCUGCAUCUCAGCCUCCUGGCCUGCCUGGCUGACAUCGCUCACCAUUGACCUGCUUGCUCAUCAUUACAGUCUGUGGACUGAGGUCAUAGCCAAACCCAUUCCCGGCUGGUUUGUACAUGUUAGUCACAAGUUCCCACUCAAAGAGGCACGUCUUGCAUCUGGAUCCAGUUGCUUUCUUCCAGCAGAUCAGAGUCUAGGUAUGCUGUUGCAGGGAAAUAGAUCACUAACACUUGCAAGUGUUACAAUGAAAACUGAACUCUGACCAGAAAAAUAACCAUUCGCAUAGAUGCUACUGCCUUGAUUACCCAGGGGAAAAAAAAAAAAAAAAAAAAAAGUCAAGUUAAUGUAUUUUGUGAUAAGGCAGCUGAAUGGGUGCUUUCUAUGUGUUCAGAAUGUAGAUUACUUUGACACUUAGACAGGGGAAAGUGGUGAAAUACCUCACCUUCUGUAUGGAAAUCAUAAACCUGUUGCUGUUUCAGGAGGGAAAUGAGAAAAUCAUGGCAGAUCCAAGAGCUUCAAAAGAGCUACAAAAAGCUCUUGACUACCCAGUUUUCCAUACAGUCAACUUAAAAAGUUCUUCUAAAAAUGGCAAUUAAUUAAAAAAGGUUAAAAAGAAAAAUCCCUGUCAAUAAAGAAUGGCUUUUCCCUUCUGCCUUAGCCUUC